GAGAAUAGUUUAUAAAAACAUUUGAUUUGCGCACACAAAAAAAAGAUAGUUUUCUCU
rnacentral:tRNA from 1 species